GCCCAGGUGGCGAAAUUGGCAGACGCGCCACUUUGAGGGGGUGGCGCCGGUAACGGUGUGCGAGUUCGACUCUCGUCUUGGGCA
rnacentral:tRNA from 1 species